rnacentral:rRNA from 1 species
CGGUUAAGUUAGAAAGGGCGCACGGUGGAUGCCUUGGCACUAGGAGCCGAUGAAGGACGGGACGAACACCGAUAUGCUUCGGGGAGCUGUAAGCAAGCUUUGAUCCGGAGAUUUCCGAAUGGGGAAACCCACCACUCGUAAUGGAGUGGUAUCCAUAUCUGAAUACAUAGGAUAUGAGAAGGCAG